GAACCAACAGGGAUUGCCCCAGUAACGGCGAGUGAAGCGGCAACAGCUCAAAUUUGAAAUCUGGCUUCGGCCCGAGUUGUAAUUUGCAGAGGAUGCUUUGGGCGCGGCGCCUUCUGAGUUCCCUGGAACGGGACGCCACAGAGGGUGAGAGCCCCGUAUAGUUGGACGCCUAGCCUGUGUAAAGCUCCUUCGACGAGUCGAGUAGUUUGGGAAUGCUGCUCAAAAUGGGAGGUAAAUUUCUUCUAAAGCUAAAUACCGGCCAGAGACCGAUAGCGCACAAGUAGAGUGAUCGAAAGAUGAAAAGCACUUUGAAAAGAGGGUUAAAUAGCACGUGAAAUUGUUGAAAGGGAAGCGCUUGUGACCAGACUUGCGCCGGGCCGAUCAUCCGGGGUUCUCCCCGGUGCACUCGGCCCGGCUCAGGCCAGCAUCGGUUCUCGCGGGGGGACAAAGGCCCAGGGAACGUAGCUCCUCCGGGAGUGUUAUAGCCCGGGGCGUAAUGCCCUCGCGGGGACCGAGGUACGCGCAUCUGCAAGGAUGCUGGCGUAAUGGUCACCAGCGACCCGUCUUGAAACACGGACCAAGGAGUCAAGGUUUUGCGCGAGUGUUUGGGUGUAAAACCCGCACGCGUAAUGAAAGUGAACGUAGGUGAGAGCUUCGGCGCAUCAUCGACCGAUCCUGAUGUAUUCGGAUGGAUUUGAGUAGGAGCGUUAAGCCUUGGACCCGAAAGAUGGUGAACUAUGCUUGGAUAGGGUGAAGCCAGAGGAAACUCUGGUGGAGGCUCGCAGCGGUUCUGACGUGCAAAUCGAUCGUCAAAUCUGAGCAUGGGGGCGAAAGA
rnacentral:rRNA from 1 species